UACUGAAUAGACAAUGACUUGGA
rnacentral:piRNA from 1 species